UUUUUUAUGGAGGCGAUGAUGCAGGUUGAUGACAAUGGCAGGUUGGCGAUGACCGAUGACAAGUUGACAGGUUGAUGACAAUUAAUGGCAGGUUGAUGGCAACUAAUGACAGGUUGCUGACAGCUAAUGGCAGGUUGACAGGUUGAUGGCAUCUAAUGGCAGAUUGAUGACAAUUAACGACUGAUGACAGAUUGACAGGUUGAUGACAAUUAAUGGCAGGUUGGCGAUGACUGAUG